GAGUGAAGCGGCAAUAGCUCAAAUUUGAAAGCUGGCCCCUUUGGGGUCCGCGUUGUAAUUUGUAGAGGAUGAUUCGGCGAGGGCUCCCGUCUAAGUCCCCUGGAACGGGGCGUCAUAGAGGGUGAGAAUCCCGUAUGUGAUGGGUUGCCUUAGCCAUGUGAAUCUCCUUCGACGAGUCGAGUUGUUUGGGAAUGCAGCUCUAAAUGGGAGGUAAAUUUCUUCUAAAGCUAAAUACCGGCCAGAGACCGAUAGCGCACAAGUAGAGUGAUCGAAAGAUGAAAAGCACUUUGGAAAGAGAGUUAAAAAGUACGUGAAAUUGUUGAAAGGGAAGCGCUUGCAGCCAGACUUGUCCGCAGUUGCUCAGCCGGUCUCCUGACCGGCGUACUCUUCUGCGGCCAGGCCAGCAUCAGUUCGGGCGGUCGGAUAAAGACCCCAGGAAUGUAGCUCCUCUCGGGGAGUGUUAUAGCCUGGGGUGGAAUGCGGCCAGCCUGGACUGAGGAUCUCGCUUCGGCUAGGAUGCUGGCGUAAUGGCUGUAAGCGGCCCGUCUUGAAACACGGACCAAGGAGUCUAACAUCUAUGCGAGUGUUUGGGUGUCAA
rnacentral:rRNA from 1 species